AAAUUAGGGGAUGAGACAAUUACUGCAACAAUAUGAUCGGUAAUUUUCCAUGAUUCGUUGUAUUUAAGUCUCUGAUAAUU